rnacentral:rRNA from 1 species
UAGGGAAUCUUCCACAAUGGACGAAAGUCUGAUGGAGCAACGCCGCGUGAGUGAAGAAGGGUUUCGGCUCGUAAAACUCUGUUGUUAAAGAAGAACAUAGCUGAGAGUAACUGUUCAGGUAUUGACGGUAUUUAACCAGAAAGCCACGGCUAACUACGUGCCAGCAG